UAAUAAUAAUAAUAAUACAUUUAAUUUAACCCUCUCAGGCUCAAAAUACCUUUUGAUAAAAAGACGAACAACUACGUCCUUCAGGGGUACUUCUGUGUUAAAAAAAGCUCAUGAAAUACGUAUGUGGAGUAACCAGGUAGGUAGGUUUUAACCUUGCAAAUCUGCAACGCCUGCCUCCAGAGGGUUAAAAGCGCCUUUCAGGACAUCCAAGGUCAUUUCACAAGUUGGGGAGCAGCCAAAAUGGUGAAGGAGUAACUCAUCUGGUGAGCUCUCACUGAUUUAUUCAUUUUAAAAAGUUAUUUUUUGUUGAUUCUUUUGAGGCAAAACUCCAUGCCAGGAAGUUUCUUGUGGAAACAAUAAGUCUUUACUGACUGUCAAAGGGGAUUCUACAGCUGGAAAAAGAACCACUGGUAGACCAAUCCCAUUGAGCAGGAAAGCAGAUUAGUCAAUUCAGUUCAGUUUAUGUAUCUAAAGCCAAAUCACAAAGAGGCGUAUCAAGGCACAUGUCACAAUCUAUUGUAGCAUAAAACAUUACUAUUAAGAUUGCGCAGAGAUUCUUGCCCACGCACAUACCUGUGGCCAGCCUCUUUAUGGUGGCUCAUUGGUCUCAGUCUUCCCAGACUACACUUCAAAUGUGGCCAGGGCCUGAGCCUCGUUAGCUGAUGUGAGGAGGCCUCUUUGCGGUUAACAGGAUGUGGUACGUUCUGCUUUUACUUGCAGGGCUCUGUGACACCCGUGAUGGACUGGAUUAAAUAUCCCUAGACUCUGAAGCUGCCAUAGAACACUUAAAGAAAAACAUUGCCCUCAAAUCGGACACUUAAACGCUUUGGAGCUGCUGUCUGCACGGUGCACAUGAUGUAUAGGUUAGGCUGUGUUAUGACAUUCUAUUUAGGUUUGAUGGGACCUUUACAGUGAUUGUGGUCCAUGUGAUGUUCUUGUUGGAUGCUGAAGCGGUUUUUGCUAAGGGCCUGAUAGUAGACUGAAUUUGUGCAUUGCCGUGAGAUGGUGUAAAGAUUUGCUGUUUAACCUCAGAUUGUUUUUGUCUUAUUUUCAUUGGGAUUUGCUGGGAGCCUGGGUGACUGUGGCUGGGACUUGGUUCCUCUGUGUAACCACAUAGAUGUGUGGAAUUUUUGGUUGGGAGAAUCUGUUAUCUCCAGUUGUUGUUAGAUAUGUUUGGGAAUUGGAGGUGUUUUUUCAGGGGAAGAUUAUUGUUUCUGGGGUUCGGGUUAGGGUUCGGGUUAGUUAAAUCCCUUAACAAUCCUUUAAAAUUGGCAAGGGCUCAUUAAAAAUGACUUAAAUCAGAUAUUGCCUUUUUACAGGAGACAUAUUUGUUCAGUAGAUGAUUCUCGUUUUAAGAAAAAACAAGAACAUGUGAAGUACCACAUGUUAGAAUAGGACAUCCUUAGCAUCAUCAAUUCUUUGUCUGAUCCCGUUAAAGAGCAAAUUGCAGGUUAGAGACUCCCAUGAACCAAUGUUUAGAGAAACAUAAUAGAAACUCGUUUUAAACCUUUUUUACACAAACAUAAAUUAUUUAGGCUUUUAGAGUCAUUUUUGUGAGAAAGUUUUUUAUUUAUUUUUUGGCCAAACCAAGUGACGUCAUCUGAGGGAGUCCUGUUAGCUUAAUCCAGAGAAAAAUAUAGAUUAUAAUGCCGGCUCUGACACAGAGGAAACUUUAAAUGUUUACAAUUAUACUCAUGAUGGACCCAAACCAUAAAGUUAUGAGUUUGCUGCACGCCCAAGAGGGCAGAGACAAACCAGAGUGAGAAACCAUCGACCAAAGCAGAUAGAUUAAGGAGGAGCAGUAGCGGGGGAGCAGCAAGUGUCUGGUGAGCGUGUUGGGGAGCAGCAGCUGCAGCUAAUUGCCAUCAGCCUGGCCAGAGGAUUUAAGGAGCGGUGCUGCCACACCUCAUCGCCGGUUGAUACUCUACUGUUGGCCCUGGAUUCCCUCCAUCCGCAUGAGGUGUGUUUUAUCACAGCGUCGUUCAGCUUCCCUGGCCUCCUGCUCUCCACCGCUCACCUGCCUUCCUGGACCCAGCAUCUUCUCCAGCGACCAUCUCCUCCCAGCAUCAACCUGACUUGCCUCUCCCUCCUGCCCCUCGUCCUGCUCAACUCAAGUCGGAGUUGCCUCGUUUCCUGUCCCGUUUGGAUCAGCGCCCUUAGUUUUUGCUUUGUUUCUUUCUAAAAUAAAGAUAUUUUAUUAUCAUCUCUUACCUUA